rnacentral:tRNA from 1 species
GAAAUAAAAAAAAUAAAGCUUCUAACUUUAAAUCUAGAUAUUAAAAUAUCUUUAUUUCU